GGUGCUCUGACCCCUGCAUGCACUGCCUCUCUUAGCCACCUGCAUUCCCUUCUUAGGUCAGCAGGUGCAGGCCUGGCAAGAGCAGCGUGGAGGGACAUGUUUCUUGAGGCUGCAUGCUGAGCUUCUGGAAAAGCAGCCUGCAGUUGCCAUAUGCACCCAAGAUGACUUUAUUCCAAGCCUCAAAUCCAACAUCUCAGGUCCCCCCAGUGAAGAGUCAAAACCACCAAAAUGUCUUACUGUCUUGCUCUCAAGACCUUAUGACUAGAGGAUUCCAACAUCACAAUCAAAUUCAUCAGUAAUGAAUGCUAUGAUGACAGCGGAUACCACUAGUACAGCCCUUGGACCUGGGCAAGAGGGGCGCUAUCUUGGGUCCAGUGCUUUAGGGGGCCCUGCUCCAGUCCUCCUCCAGGCUUUAGGGGGCCCGGCUCCAGUCCUCCUCCAGGCUUUAGGGGGCCCUGCUCCAGUCCUCCAACUGUGCUUUUCCCUAGGGAGGAAGGAAUCCAUGGCCACCCACACAUGUCCCUUUCUAGAACAUUUUCUGGGUACUUGGGGCCCCCGAUUUCUGGCAAAAACGAUUGCAAGCUUAGAUGUGGGCAUCUUCCCAGCAUCCCUGCUUUAGAGCAGGCUGAGUGGUCACACAAGAUGGUGGCGGGGAAUGUGAAUAGAGGUUGGAUGUGAGGGUGGGAUGUCCACACAGGUGUGCAUAGACCCCUAAGGUGCAGGAUGGAGCUGGGGGUGGGAAGAGAAAGGGAGCAGGUUCCAAUCAGCUCGGCUGUCCCCACAAUGCCGUAUUCUGCAGCAGAUUUCCAAUAAUAUAAUAAUUUACCAUCUAAACCUAGUCUUCAAAGUCAUUAAGAAGUUACUUAUGUUGGCCGGGCAUGAUGGCUCAUGCCUGUAAUCCCAGCACUUUGAGAGGCCGAGGUGGGCGAAUCACCUGAGAUCAGGAGUUUGAGACCAGCUUGACCAACAUGGAGAAACCCCAUCUCUACUAAAAAUACAAAAUUUGCUGGGCGUGGUGGUGCAUGCCUAUAAUCCUAGCUACUUGGGAGGCUAAGGCAAGAGAAUCACUUGAACCUGGGAGGCAGAGGUUGCUGUGAGCCAAGAUCGCACCAUUGAACACCAGGCUAGGCAACAAGAGUGAAAAAAAAAAAAAAAAAA
rnacentral:lncRNA from 1 species